ACAAUGUGGUCAAAGCAAACUCACUUCCUCUACUUGAUGUGGGUAAGAUUUUUCCUUCGCUCAUAAACAGACAGCAGUAAAGUUUAUUUGUGUUUCAUUAAGACAACAUCAUGAGAAUCACACAGCUUCAAAUCUGUCAGUUUCUUUACAUUACAUGAAUAUCUUUUCAUUUGAUUUGUGUUUCAUUCGUUUCUAUAUCUUAAUUUUUAUGACUUUGUUUUUCUUAUCUUCUCACAGAUCUGCUCAUAUUGUGUCAAGCUGCUGAGACUUUGGAUCAACUCACAGAUUUGGGUCAAAAUGUGACUAUAAACUGUGAUCUGGAUGAAGAAGAGAUUUAUUGGUUAUUACUGAAAACAUCAGAUCCUCCUGUGAUGAUAUUACGCACUUUAUCAUCAAAACCUUUAUUCUUCAACAAAACAUUAAGACACAAAUAUUCACUUCAAUCUAAAAAUCAUCUCUUUAUAAAUAGCAUCACUAUUGAUGAAUUAGGAGUUUAUUACUGUAUGAAGAUAGAAACAACACCACCUCCAAAAUUCAGCAGUGGCACCAGACUACAUGUAAAGGAGCCAACAGAAAGACCAAACCAAGUUACUAAUAUACAGCAGAAUCAUACAGAAGUGAAUGAGAAUGAAAACAGAGUCACAUGUCAGAUUCUUACCAUCACACUUGGUCUACUGAAUGGUGUUUUGUUCAUUGUGAUCAUAGGACUAUUAAAGGUUUUCAUUGUUGGAAAUAAAAGAUUUGAAGAUUGUUCACAACAACUUCAUGACACUGAACUACAGCAGGUGACCUACAGAUGUUUAUCAGCGAGUCACAAACCAGUUACAGUUUGCAGAAGUGAACUUUUUAAAGCUGCAUAAAAGUCUCUGCAAAACAAAUCCAGUAUAACUUCUGUGUUGAUCUAAUGCUGCCAUCUUACAGUUUACACCAGCUGUUAUUAAUACUGGAUUAUAUUAAAAGUUUAAUGUGAGCAAAAAAUCCAAGGUUGUAGAUUUGAUCUCAUAAACAGACUGAUAAAUGUAAAUGCACUUGCAUGGACUGUAAAAUAUCUGCUAAAUGCAAAAUGUCUAUAAGUGAUCAGACUGAAGUACUUUAUGUACUGUAGUAUCAUAGUUUCAUAUAUGA